rnacentral:tRNA from 1 species
GGGGGAGUAGCUCAGGGGGAGAGCGCAUGACUGAAGAUCAUGGUGUCGAGAGUUCGAAUCUCUCCUUCCCCA